AAGGAUCAUUAAUGAGUUGUGAAGGGGUUUGAUGCUGGCACCCAAAUUUUGGAUGCAUGUGCUCGCCCUGACAAUCAUCUUCCAAACACAUGUGCACAUUUUUGAGGGAAUUUUGAGUUGAUUACCAUUUUGGGGUGAUUUUCUUGCAUUCCCUUAAAUUACUAAACGCUGAUAACAAUGUUGAACGUGUUUUGUGCCGCAAGGCCAUUAAUAUAAUAUAACUUUUAACAACGGAUCUCUUGGCUCUCGCAUCGAUGAAGAACGCAGCGAAAUGCGAUAAGUAAUGUGAAUUGCAGAAUUCAGUGAAUCAUCGAAUCUUUGAACGCACCUUGCGCUCCCUGGUAUUCCGGGGAGCACGCCUGUUCGAGUGUCGCGAAAUUUCUCAAGCUUGGAUGGCCUUUAUGUCUGUCCUUAGCCUUGGUUGUUGGGCUUUGCCGUGUCCUUCAUUGGGACGGCUGGCCUUAAAUGCAUUAGCUGAUCCUUGUGUGGCACUGGUUCUACUCAGCGUGAUAAUAGUCUGAUCGCUGAGGACAUCUUUCGGGAUGGCCAGUCCUCAUUUGGGUUGCUUCUAAACUUGGUGUUGCAAGUUAUUUCAAUCUGUAAUGCCACUUUCAGCUUUGACCUCGAAUCAGGUGGGACUACCCGCUGAACUUAA
rnacentral:rRNA from 1 species